CAAAUAUUGUUUUGUAGUUGCGACAGAAAAAGUAGAUUUUUGUGAGAGUUGGAGGAGACAAACAAACAUUUUCCGGUCGAUCGUUAGAAUUGAGCCCAUCUACAAGAAACACAGCCGAAUUGGGCCAGAGAAUCCUCUCAAAGAAGAAAGAAGAAGAAGAAGAAGAAGAAAAAUCUUCCUUCAACAGCAUCCUCGCUUUCCCUGGCUCCUCCUCGCCGUCCUCCGGCGGCCGCGCUCCCUCACGCGCCACCGCAAGCUGCCGGGUCAUCACGGGACUCAUGAGAUGCGGUAGUUGCCGCACCGGCGCGGCAGAAAGGAGAGGCGGCGCAGGGUAUUGACUGAAUCGGCGCUGCCGUCUCCGAUUCGCCGUCACGGCAGGGCGCGAGAGCUUGCAGCACCUGUAUAAAUUAAAGGUUCUCCUUUUCACAAUUCUAGCUUGAUUUCGUGAAUACAGAGAAGGAAUUAGAUUACCGCUGUUACUGUAGAUCUCCCUACCUUGCCGUCAGUCAGAUGUCCAAUAAGCGCCGGGAACAUGACCAAGAUGCCGCCGGCGGCGGCGACAAGAGGCCACGGCGUCGCAAGCACCUGUACCUCGUGCUGGAUGAUUGGGACAAGGGGUUCAGCAUCCACAAGAUCGACGUUGACAGCUUCGACUCCGACGACCAGCACAACAAUGCUGCCCAGCACCUCCCUGAGCCACCAGUCCUGCGGUUACAGUCGCCUGUCGGCCCUGUGCCCCAAACUGGCAUGUCAUUCUCCGCUCUGGGCACCAAGAUCUUCACCUUCAUGAACCAACACUGCGGCCUCAUCUACGACACCGAGACGGCCGUCCUGGCAAUCGGCGCCCAUGCCCCUGCCCAGAUGGUCUGCGGCUUUGGCAUCACCGUGGCCGUCGGCGAGAUGCUCUAUGCGCUGUCUUAUCGCUUCUCCGACAAGCAGCACUCCUUCGAGGUGAUGUCAUGGGAUGCGACGCAGCAUCCGAUGGAGGGCUGGUCCUGGAAGAUGUUGCCGCCACCGCCCCCGGCGUUCCACGGCCGCGUUAGCUCCUACGCACUGCACCCGGACGGGCGCUCCAUCUUCAUGACCACGGCUAACAGAGGCCGCAUGGGCACCUACUCGUUCGACACCAAGGAUUCUGCGUGGAGGUGGCAUGGGGAAUGGGCCUUGCCAUUCCUCGGCCGAGCUCACUUCGAUGGUGAGCUCAACGCAUGGGUCGGCCUUCACCAGGAUGGCUACAUCUGUGCUUGCCGAGUCGCCUCCCCCAGCUGCCAUGGCACGACUGCUCCGACAUUGCAGCUGGAUUGCCAGACAACCAAGGAGAGAUUGUUCGGCAAGGGCCUGGAGAGGUACAUGAGGGCCUCUCUUGCCUAUGUGGGCAUGAGCAGGUUCUGCCUCGUCGAGUGCGUGGCACGGGAGGGAGUGGAGGGACAAGCUCUGGGAGACCAUGGCGGCUGUGUGAUCCAUCUCACCAUGUUUGGGCUCAAGUACAAUCACAAGGGAGAGCUGCAGAUUUCAGAUCACCUGUCCACGCGCUCCUUCUUAGUGUCUAGGCACAAGAAUCACUUCGGUCCUGUAGCAUUCUGGAUGUAGAAGUUGUUUUGGCUUGUUCCAAAAUGCGCCACUGGCCACCUGAAUCUGGCUGUCACAACUGGUUCAUGUCGUGCUUUAUCCUGCUAGAAAAAAUGGAAUUAAUAAAAAAGCAUUGUUACCUUGGAAGUUGUGUGUUGAUCCAUAAGUUCCUUUUUUUUUCCUCGUAUGGAAGUUAUUGAUGUUUGUUACAGUGAUACUUGAUCUGUUAUGUAGGAAGAGGCCUAUAUAUGGUCCUGUGUCUCAACUCUCAACAACUGAGAGGUGAUACUCUUGCUCUUAGCAAAGCAGGCUAAAUUUAGCCAUUGGACCUCAGAUCUUUAGAUCUGCACCAAAAUAAGUUCUGCUAUUAAAUAAAAGAUCUAGUAGGUCGGAGCAUGGUACCUUUUUGCGUUUGGGAUUAGUAGCAUGUUACCUCUAGUGUUCAAUUAUAUUCGAAGAUGUAGAUUGGUGCAACAGCAGUACUACCAUUCAUCAGUUUUCAGUUCUGUCCAUGCAAUACCAUUAUCUCUCUGUUAGUUCUUGUAGUUGAUCUGCCAACUGCAAGUAAAAUGUCAAUGACAGAGGAAAAACAAUCUUCUUUUUUUUUUCUUUGCAAGCUUACCUAAGGAAAACUAACAUGAUAGGCUUUAGGCAGCUAGUCAGAGAAAUGUGGUAAUACCACCCUGGGAAAUUUAGAUGUUGGGGUAAUACCACUCGUCUGUCUGAAGCAUGGGUCACUCUGUUUUUCCCUUUGUUUCACUUCUUGGAGGCGACACACACAGUUUUGAAGCUUAGGUGAGGCGAUUUGACCCUCCAUUUGAUGAUUUAGAUCCUCUUGUUCCCCUUUGGAUUUGCUCUUUGCUUGUCUACUGCAGUUGUUUUGUCCAGUAAAAUCAGUUCAGUUAUGUUCCGCACUGGUUUGUGGAUUUAUCGAUUAGGGUUUGGAAAUUUCAUGAUUCCUCGAUUCCCUGCUUCUAGUCUAAUUCUAUUAGUUCAAUUGGCUCGGUUGGUGGUUUGAUUUGAAAUUUACAUGAUUAGUUUGGUGCACUCGUUAUUUUUAAUUUUAGGCAGUUGUGUAGCUGAUUUUGGUUAGACAUUUUACGCUUCGCCCCGAUUCUCUUUGAUGAUUGAUUCUUGUUGAGAUUGGCGAUAUGCUGAAUCAGUAGUAGUAGUUGUUGUUGUUAGUCACACCCCCUCACAGGCUUUUGCAGCCUGCUUUAGAUUUUCAGCAUAUCUGAAUCAUUCAUGCUUCUCAUGUUGUUUUAUUCCCUGCUUAUCAUGAUGAUUUGUCCUUCAGUAAAAUAGUUGUUUUUAAUCUGUCCCAUUGAUUGUUAUCUGGAGGUUAUCACUCAUCCAUCAAUGUAAUCAGUUCAUCUAGAAUUCAUAGCAAAAUAUCUGUUUAAUCUGUUCAAUUUGUUGUCAUCUGGGGGUUCUUAAUCAUUCAGAAUCUUUUCUGAAAUUCAUAGUACAUCUGGAAUCUUUAACGAGUUUGUAUAUAUGAAAAUGCUUAUUAAAGCAGAAAUUUGACCAUGCAUUAAGAAUCUUUUUAAUUAUAGCAAUUUGAUCAAAAUCCAACGGUUCUAAAAUCUGAGUGUCGGGUCUUCCAUAUGCUAUUUACAAUGAUAACUUUCAAUCAAUUAUAGCGCAUUGUUAUUCAAAAAAUGAUGGUUGAUAUGAUGGAAUGUUGCCUUUUUAGAUUUGUGUUAUUCAAAAAAUUUUGUUCCCUGAAAUAUCUUUGAAGCAGCAAUCAUUUUUUAUUUGAUAAAGAUGCAGCAACAGCAAUGACUUUCCAUGUGCAUUGAUUAAAAUUUGUGCUCAUCAGACUUGUUUCUGUCUAAUUCCUUUAUGACCAAUGCUAGUAUAUGGAUGUCUCUAAUGAUUUGAAUAUAAAUCAGGACAAAGAAUUUUCUGUAUUCAUUAUUAGUGCCUUUUUUUGUGCAGUUAUUAUUUUGCACCAUUUGGUUGAAAUCAGGUGGUUCCAAAUUCGGGUGGCAGAUGGACCUGCAGCACUCGAUUCCCCCUCCCCUUCCAAAUCGAGUGUUUUAGGCAAUUAAUUUACUUGGGUGAUGGUGGGUGGGGCCACCAUAAUGCCGGGGUGACAGGUAGACAGAUCCCGAACCGUGUCCAUAAUUUCCAAGUGUACCUGAUUUCGUGCUCUCAUUUUUGGCAGUGCUGAUGCCAUCAUUUGUUGAAGCCAAAUAAAAUGCCUACCUUUCAUACUGCUGAACCCUAUUAAUAUUGGUGUUAUCUGUGUCAGUGAUUGCAGAAGGUAGCUCAUUUGUGGAGCAACAUGACAAUGCUAAAGUGCCACAAACAGAGCAAGUAAAGGAGUCUAAUGCUAUUCUAUUUGCUGAGAUAAGUGAGACAAUGCAGAAACAGAGCAUUUCUUGUGGUGGCCAACUUAUACAGAGAGCACUGCACGAGGGAGCGGCACAAACUAUACAAGAAUGGGCCUGCUACCCCUGCCUCAUGGCUUCAUAUCAAUAAACAGCCUGUUCGGCUGGAUGUUUUUGCCGUGGCCGAUACUGUAGCGGAUGAUUUUUUUGUGAGAAGAUACACACUGUAGCGGCUGGUCACUGUAGCGGCUGAUUACUGUAGCAGCUACAUGCGAUAUAGCCUCGAUUCCACGAGGGAGCGCAUACUGCACUAAUACUGUAGCUACAGAGUUACUGCAGCUACAGUGAAUCGGCCGGAAUCAGACCAGUGCAGCCGAACAGGGCGAAAAUAGCUUUGGGAGUCGGAGUUGCUGAGAUAAGUGAGACAAUGCAAAAGCAGAGCAUCUCAAGUGAAAGCCAGGGUAAUGCACAAGGGAAGCAGCAAAGAUGCAAGGAAUGUGACGUACUCGUGGAUGACAAGCAACACAGAGAGCACUGCAAGAGUGGGUGGCACAAGCACAAUUACACGCGCCACAAGAACGGGCUACCGCCUUUCAGCCAAGAGGAGUGCAUGGUGGAGAUGGAACUGGCCGACUCCAAGGACCUUAAAGACUAUGCUUUCUGAUUAGGGCUAAGUAAAGGGAAGGGCGCAGGACAUGAAGGUGCUGCUGCGGUCCUUUUUUCUUCUUCUUCUUCUUUCCCCCCUUGAGGACAGAUAUGGUCGAGUGCGGGUACUGUAUAGUGGAGCGGGUAACCAAGUUUUACGAGAUGGUAGACAAGUUGUUGGAAUGGAUGUGAUGGCCUAGCUGGAUAGUUUAGGUGCAAUAGAGUAUGUCAGUUUGGGAUAUUGAACCUGGCUGUAUGGAAGGCUUUUGUAUGUAAAGCCGAAUAAACUCGUGGUUGUAGCAAGCGUUUGGGAACUUGAAACUUUGUUUGUUACGUUGGAAAAAGUUGAUAUGACUUAGGAGAUCCUUUCUGGUU